AUGGAGAUCACACUGGAAUGUGCCUUCAUAGUUCUGUGGCUUCAGGUUGGCUGGUUGAGUGGUGAAGACCAAGUGGAGCAGAACACUCAGACCCUGAGAACCAAGGAGGGAGACAGUGUCAGCCUUAAGUGCACUUACAAAGUCAGGGGGUUCACUGCACUACAGUGGUACAAGCAAGUUCCUGGAAGAGGCCCUGAAAUGCUCUUCAACCUGUUUUCAGUUGGGACGAGUCAGCACAGAGAAAAUCUCAAUGUCAGUCUUUCAAAUGACAGCAGUUCUCUGCACAUCAGAGCCCCUAUGCCUGGAGACUCAGCCACCUACCUCUGCGCUGUGGAAGCACAGUGUUUCCCGGGCACCUGCAGCCUGUACCCAAACUUGCAGCUGCGGCCCUGGAAGACAGCAGAUACAGGUUUUAACUUAGCGCCCAGAACCUCUGCCCGUGGUCCUGCAGGAAAUGAGGUCUUGUGA